ACGACGGAGUAUCAGCUAUAUAUACAUCUAUAUCAUCAUAUACUAGCUUCAAACAACUCAAACAUUUUCCUUUAAAAAAAAAAAACUCAUAAACAACAUUAAGAAAAUGGAGAAGAAAUUCUUUGGGCUUUUGCUUUUGCUUCUCUUCUUCUUUGCUUCUGAGAUGAACAUGGUAGCUGAGGUUGAGGGUUUCACAUGCUCAAAACCAAGCAAAUACUUCAGAGGCUUUUGUAAUAAUUCUUGCAAGGACGCUUGUAACGAUGAGAAUUGGCCUAUUGGAAACUGUGUAGGCUUUCUCGGAAAUAAAUGUGAAUGCCGUAAACCGUCCCCUUGUUAAGCAGUGUGCUGAUGCUCAUCUAUCGGAUACUGCUGGCCAGGGAUAAUAAGAUGCUGAUGUCAUAAAUCAAUAAUAUAAAAUCUUGUAAUGUAGAAGAAAUGGGUGUCUGCUGAUCAACUGCUACACCGGUUUAUAAGUAAUCCGUAUAUGGGUUGAACUGCCGCGUGCGUAGCACACGUCAGUCAACGUGGUAUUUUAAUAUUUCUCCAGUUCGUUUUUUAUUCUCUACGUGUUCUGUUUUAUGUGUUCUAUUUUAAUAUUUAUGUUUGGAAUAUUUGCUUUUAUAUUGUAACAUAAGUGUUCUUAAUAUUUUGUCAAAAAUUGUAACAAGUGAUUAUUUUCAUCGCUUA